UACGUAGGGGGCUAGCGUUGUCCGGAUUUAUUGGGCGUAAAGAGCGUGUAGGCGGCCAGGUAGGUCUGCUGUGAAAACUCGAGGCUUAACCUCGAGAUGUCGGCGGAAACCAUCUGGCUAGAGUCCGGAAGAGGAGAGUGGAAUUCCUGGUGUAGCGGUGAAAUGCGCAGAUAUCAGGAAGAACACCAGUGGCGAAGGCGAAUCCCUGGAAAAUACCUGACACUGAGGCACGAAAGCUAGGGGAGCAAACAGG
rnacentral:rRNA from 1 species